rnacentral:pre_miRNA from 1 species
ACUUUUCUGGGCUCUUGUUAAAAUGCAGAUUCUGAUUCAGCAGGUCCAGAGCACAGCCUGAGAUUCUGCAUUUCUAACAAGCUCCCACACUAUGCUGA